AUGGUGACUCUGGUGCUGGCCAUCGGGAGGAGCCAGUCGCUGAGACAUGUAGCACUUGGAAGAAACUUCAACGUCCGGUGCAAGGAGACCCUGGAUGACGUCCUGCACCGGAUCGUCCAGCUCAUGCAAGACGACGACUGUCCCCUGCAGUCUCUGUCCGUGGCUGAUUCGCGGCUAAAGCUGGGCGCCGGCGUCCUACUCCGGGCACUGAGCACCAAUCCUAACCUGACUGCACUGGAUAUCAGUGGCAACGCCAUGGGGGACACGGGCGCCAAGAUGCUGGCCAAGGCCCUGGGAGUCAACACGAGGCUCCGGUCUGUGAUUUGGGAUCGGAACCACACAUCUGCUCUGGGGCUGCUGGACGUGGCGCAGGCCCUGGAGCAGAACCAUAGCUUAAAGGACAUGCCUCUGCCACUGAACGAUGUGGUCCAGGCCCAGCGUAGCCGCCCAGAACUGACAGCACGAGCAGUCCAUCAGAUCCAAGCCUGUCUCUUGAGGAAUAACCAUGAGGAUCCCACCUCUUCUGGCCCCUCAUCUUGCCUUCAGCCUUUGAAUUUGGUUUCAGAUCACUCAGAGCAGGAGGUGAAUGAGCUGUGUCAGUCGGUGCAGGAGCACAUGGAGCUGCUGGGCUGUGGGGCUGGACCCCAGGGUGAAGCUGCUGUGCACCAAGCAGAGGAUGCCAUCCAAAAUGCCAACUUUUUUCUCAGCAUUCUCCCCAUUCUAAAUGAGGCUGGGAACUCCCCAAGCUAUCAAUGGCAGCUGCGGCAGAAGGUGGAGGCCCUCCUGGAACAGGUGGGUGAGGUCUGCCGCCAGGACACCCAGGACUUCAUUCAGGCCAUACUGGACACAACAAGGAGCCUCUGCCGACAGAUGCUGCAGGGACCUGGCUGGAGGGAGCAGCUAGAAGGGGUCCUGGUGGGUUCAGAGGGCCUCCCAGAGCUGCUCCCAGAGCAGCUACUGCAAGAUGUCUUCACCAGACUCAGGGACAUUCGGCUGUCAGUCACUGGGACCCUUUCAGAGAACAUUGUGGCUCAGGCUCUGGCAGGCCUGAGUGCAGCCCAGGAUCGGCUGGUGGAGAGUCUGGCUCAGCAGGCACCAGUGGCAAUGCCCCCUAGCCUCCCAGCACUGGAUGGAGGUGAGCUCAGCCCCCUAGGGCCUGGGGCAUUGGAAGGUUUUUUCUUCCCUGAGGACAAGGAAGAGGAAGAGGAAAAGGAGAACGAUGAAAGUCCUCUGUGGAAAUGGCCUGAGCACUGUCUUCACCUGGUCCCCUUCGAUUACAGUAAGCCAAGGCCUUAAGGAACAACAUUUACCUAAAUGGGUUGAACCUCCUUUAGACCUGGGGACCUGGACACAUUCAAGUCCUGUCCUGGGUAUUUUCUAACCCAGGCCUAGGCCAGGCCAGGACCGCGUUCAGUCUGCAAAGGUGGGGUCAGGAGAGAGUGAGACCUGAGCCCAGCAAGGCCAGGUCGCCAUCUCCCCUGUCCCCACUGCCUCUUUCCCUACCCCCUGGACGCGCAUGCUUGGCAGCGAUGAGGAGCCGCGCGCGCUCGGGGCCGCGCUCAGCACCAUGGACAGCGGUGGCGGGGGAGGGGCGGGGCGGGCGGAGUAGCCGGGCCCCUCCCUGCGCCCAGGGCGGGUCCCCCGCCGCCCUAGCGCCUCACCACCACCUCCCCCGGUUCGGCGCUUGGUGCUCUUCUGGUGCUCUUGCCUUAGGUGCUGCUGAGCAAGCGGAACCGGAGCCCGAGCUGGCGGCUCCGGGGGAAGAUGCUGAGCCGCAGGCGGGGCCGUCCGCUCGCGGCUCUCCGAGCCCCGCCGCUCCCGGGCCACCAGGCGGCCCACUGCCUCGCAUGGACCUGCCGCCCGCCGGGCAGCCCUUGCGCCA
rnacentral:lncRNA from 1 species